GUAUAUGGGAAACAUUGUGUAUGGCAGACCUCUGUUCAGCAUGGUGUAUAUGGGAAACAUUGUGGGUCACAGACCUCUGUUCAACAUGGUGUAUAUGGGAAACAAUGUGGGUCACAGACAUGAAAUGAUUUGUGUGAAGUAACAGUAAAGCAGAAUGGCUACAGACAAUUAGUUCAGAAUUGAAGAAGAGAUGCAGGUCUUUGUUCUAUAUGGUGUAUGAGGGAACCAUGGUGGAAAUUUGGAUUUCAUGGCAGUCAUAGAAAUAUCUAAUAAGUCUGUAGGAAAGUGAUGUGUGUACCAGUCUGUCAGACUUUUUCCUGUCUGUCCAGUCGACAAAUUCGCAAUAGAUGUGUAGAUUCUCAAAUAAUUUGGCAGAGUUUUCACAGUUACUAAGACAGAUUGCAAAAGAUUUUUGGACUAUAUUCCUGUGGGGAUGGAUUAAAAAAACUACUCCAGACUGGUAGACAUGACAGAUGUUUAUUGGAAAUAUGAACAUGGACUUGAAACUUUGAUGUGUAGCAAAAAAAUUCAUCGUUGAUGAUAGUGAUUUUCUAAGCUAUAUUGACUGGAACAGGGUUGUUCUUU
rnacentral:lncRNA from 1 species